rnacentral:rRNA from 1 species
GGACGAACGCUGGCGGCGUGCCUAAUACAUGCAAGUCGAGCGGAUGACGAGGAGCUUGCUCCUCUGAUUCAGCGGCGGACGGGUGAGUAACACGUGGGCAACCUGCCUGUAAGACUGGGAUAACUCCGGGAAACCGGGGCUAAUACCGGAUAGGUGAUGUCUUCGCAUGAAGAGAUCAGGAAAGAUGGCUUCGGCUAUCACUUACAGAUGGGCCCGCGGCGCAUUAGCUAGUUGGUGAGGUAACGGCUCACCAAGGCGACGAUGCGUAGCCGACCUGAGAGGGUGAUCGGCCACACUGGGACUGAGACACGGCCCAGACUCCUACGGGAGGCAGCAGUAGGGAAUCUUCCGCAAUGGACGAAAGUCUGACGGAGCAACGCCGCGUGAGCGAAGAAGGUCUUCGGAUCGUAAAGCUCUGUUGUUAGGGAAGAACAAGUACCGUUCGAAUAGGGCGGUACCGUGACGGUACCUAACCAGAAAGCCACGGCUAACUACGUGCCAGCAGCCGCGG